CUCACAAUGCAUUGCAGCUGGUGUGCAGCUUAAUUAACCAGACCCUCAGAGGCUGAAGUGUCAUGGUAGAAAUCGCAAUAUCCAAGAAGCGAUGCUAUUCAAUAUAUAUAUACUUAUAUAUUUAUAUUAAAAAAUAUAUAAAGCAUAUAUAUAUAUAUAUGUAUAUAUAUAUAUAUAUACACACACACACACACACACACACACAUAUAUGUUUACGUUGUUGGAGUUACCAUUUUCGUCAUCUUUAAAGAUACAGCAUUCUCACAUUUUUAAUUUUAAUAUUUGAAUAUUUGUAGGUGAAAUGAUUUUUUAAUAUCCUAAUGGAAAUUCAAGUAAGAAAGGACCCAAGUUUUAGGGGUUGAGACAAAUGUAAGAGGCAUUUAAAUUUCUAAAUGCCUAAAUUCUGCAAAUGCAUUUUAAAACCAUGAGUGAGUAGAAAUAUCUUGUACUUAAAAAUAUAUAUAUAUAUAUAUUAGGUUAAUAUUUCUUAAUUAUUUUAGGUUGACAUUUGAUUAGUUUUAUAAGAGCAAUGAUACACUUAUGUUCCAGUCAUAUCCUUUAAGAAUUUGAGGGUGUUAGAAAGGUACUUUGCAAAGUAUUUUGAAGUGCUCCCACAAACAUGACAGUUAUAACCUAUUUUAAAAAUCUUAUCUUAGAGCUAAAUAUAAUAGUUCUGCUGAAAAAUUGUUUUACAAUAAACUUAAACACUAAAAGUAAAAACUGAAGAAAAUUGUCUGCCACAUAUUGCUUUUCAAAACUUCCUUAAUCUGUCUGAGGUAUCGACUUACAUAUGAUUUGUAGUAUGCAUACAAAUACCUUGUGGGCUCUCACACAUAUCAGUAAGUAUAUCUUAUCGCAGUCUUGUGUUUAUAGGAUUGUGAAUGAAAACCAGUUUCUAACAUUCACACAGAAUCUGGGCAGAUGCUACCACAUUUCAGUGUAGUGGAAAUGUAGACAUAGCAAAAGACAUCUUAAAGAGCAUGCAGAGCAGUUGGUCCCCGAAUUUGUGUUGGCUUUGCUAAUUUGAUGUUUUUGGCAGAAUGCAUGGGCUCUAACUUGUUGAUACACAGGAAUGGUAAGGCUUAGGACUUAUACCAAUCAAAUGUAUCAUUCUUUUUUUUUUUCCAUGAAGAUUUUUUUCAAUUUUGAUACCAGGAAUUAUUAUUUUUGACCAUGUGAAAUUGACAUAUGACUGCUUCACAUACAUACUUCACUGUAACUUUACAAGACUCAAUGAAGACAGAGAAAGAGUAAACAUCUUAAGACUGCAAACACUUUCUUUUUUUGCUGAUAAUGUUUUAGAUAAUUUCAGUAUUUUGAAUUUUAAGCCAUGAUGUAGGCAUCAUUCCAUGACAGACCUUGACCAUGCACAGAUACUACAUGCAUGUCACCAGUGUUCAGCUGCUGCUUCCUGCAGGGCCUGGCAUAGCAUUUUUUUUUUCUUUUAGAACAAGAUGAUUCAGGUAAGAUUAAUUAGUAUAGAAAAUUCAUUUUUGGCUAUUCUUAAAGUAAAUUUUAUUCAGUAAAUAUUCAAAAUUAUUAUUAUUUAUUUGUAGACAUACUUAGAUUUUACUAUUUAGUAUAUAUAAUUUUUGGCAAAUUUUACUGUAAAUCCAGCAACUUUUAAAUUUUAGAGGAUAUUUUUCUCAUGAAAUGUGCAUAUACUUUCUGAAGGUUGGAGAAAUAAGUUCUUUUCAUUUUGCAGAUUUUUGAGAUUCAUUUUACUUUGAAACCAUGUAAUGCCAUUCAUAGGAAGGAUUAUCACACAACUUCAAUAGCUGAGAUUUCAAGCCCUUUGUUCCUUUUAAUGUGAUAAAUGCUGAUUCAGUCUGAUGUUAAUGAAAGUGGUUCUCAUCAACAUUAAUACUUUACUGCUAGGAUUAGGUUGAGUUUGACUGUGUUUUAAGGCCUGUUCUUUGUGGGGAGGAAAGGUGUGGCCAUUUCAGUAGCACAGAACAAUAUAGAGUAUUCUCUUUUUCUUUAUUGUAUUAAUAUAAAUCAUUCUAUUUAUUAAUAUUGUAGAACAUAAUUUUUCAGUUUUGGUCAAAACAACAGAGAUGUUGCAGAUGAAUUAACAUUUAUUUUGGAGAGUUUGUCAUAUGAAUUGUCUUAAGUUAUAUUUUUUUUAGGAUUAAUGAUAAUCAAGAAAAUAUGAAAAUAACUUUAAACCUAAUUAAAAAUCAAAACCAAAACCUAACCAUCUUGGUUUCAUUGACUGUAGUCUUUCUGGAAUCUUCUCUCGCCUAAUGAUUCUAUGUUAGACGUUUCCUUUGAGUUCAGCUCUAGACAGCUAUUUCUUCCUGUUAUUAGGGUGACUGCAAAGCAUCCUUUUUUCCUUAAAGGAAUCUGGCCCUGUGCUUCUGCACUCUGAGAAAUUGUGAUUUGUUAAUGCUUCCAAUCAUUGAAUUUAAUUAUAUGUAUUUGGUGGUAUCUUUACCAGAAAUGUAGUAAGUCCGAAGCUCUCUGUUUAAAGGGUUUGUGGUAACGGUGGACUUGUGGGAUUGACUGAAAGUGGGGGACCUGCUGUCCCCCCAGAGCUUAGAGCUAGAGCUCAGAAAGGCAGGGAAGAGUGGGAUGUUCUGUGCAGGGCUGCAGUGUGCCUGCUGUCCUCUUAACCUGGAAUAUGCUUUCUGAUUGCCUUUGAAGUACAGGCAGAACUUCACCAGUUUACUUGACAUUGUUUUUCUGUUCCUUUUUGGAUAUGACUGAAAAAGUAUGUUCCUUUUCUUUCCCCGGUUUUAAAUGAAUGCAUCUGAUUUUGUUUAACCAAGGUGGAAACUCAGUGUGGUUAUCUUGUGAGUAGUGUUUUUGUAGUUGGUUUGCUUCUGUGGAGGUGUAGUGGCAGUGCUUCUGCCCUUGUGCACAUUAACUGGAAGUUGCACUUUACAUUAUGAAUCGCUGUCUUGUUCAGUUGUUUCUAUUUACCUACAGUAGGACUCUGAAAAUGAUGGCUUUAUAAGCGUUGUUAAUUUCUAUAGCUGGUUACAGACUCUAUUUAUAAGGUUAUUUUUCUUUGCUCCUAGUUUUCCUUAGCUCAAUGACUUUUUUCUCAUUAAAAUUAGUAUUGAUCUUGCUUUUUUUUUUUAAAUGUUGACUUUCUGUGUCAAUCUUUCUUCCAAGGAUUAUAGGAUUUCUUCAAAUUUAGAAACUUUUAUUUUUAAAACAACAACAACAACAAAAACAACAAAAAAUUCCCUAAGUGUGUCAAGUUUUACUAGGUAAUCAUAAUGGUUAAAAAAGAAUUUGAAUAUGACUAAGUAUAAAACAACAUGAGUCCAGGCUAACUGUACUAAUUGAUAAGUUUCUAUUUGAAAUAUUAUUCUUGCUUGAAGAUCCAGUUCAUUAAAUUUUCUACUUUUCUGUCCAUUAGCCCUUUUAAGCCACUGUUCCUUAUGAUGCAUCCUGGAGGAGUCUUUUCUAAUAUCAUUAUUAAACUGUUUAGUACGAUUUCGAAGCUCUCUCUUAUAUAGCUUUAAGUUGAAACUAAAGACUUACGUGAUAAUCUUCACUCAUCAGAUGGAUAUUUGGGUUAAGGUUCAUUGGGGUGGGAGGUUAGCAUCGUCCUUCCCGCAGGCUUUUCUUUCAAUAUGCAGUCCAGUGUUUUAAUCACACGGGACACUAGAUGUUUAAGUGGAUAGAAAUGUAUGUAUGUAUCUAUGUGUGUAUGUAUGUAUAUAUGUAUAUGUGUAUGUAUGUAUGAAUGAAUCAUGGUUUCCUGUAUAAAUUAGGGAAGAUAAUCUAUCGUGAAUGUUUGUGUGUGUGUGUGUGUGUGUGUGUGUGUGUGUGUGUGUGUGUGUGUGUGUUUCUAGCUUAUUUUGAUAGACGGCGUGUGUUAUAUGUGUGUUUAUGUGUGUGGACAAUGUGUGACUAAAACUGGCAUUGCUGAAAACCUUAAGAACUGAGCUCAGGAAUUACAGGAUAGGCCAGGUAUUGAUAAGGAUUAAGAAAGACGAAUGGAGUGAGGGCAAGCCAUCUUGCUUCCCUUUGAACAUGUGGUCUUGUGUGAAGGAAACGGACGUCAUCAUUCUUGAGAGAACUUCAAAGCCACAUCUGAAAUGAAGACUGUCUUUAAUAUAAUCUGACUUAAGCAACAGAAACUAAUUAGAAAUAUUUAACAAAGAGUUUGAAAGUAACUGUAUGGAAUUCUGUCACUUUAUAGUUGGGGCUACAUAGCUACAUGCCUAGUAAAAUCUAGGAACCACUAGUGAUUUUUCUUGAUAUACUUUGGAAAUUAUCAUUAUUAACUAAGUAAUGAAAAGCAACAUGAAAAAUAUGAGUGUUAAAUAUUGUAUAUAUAAUGUACCUUCAUAUGUUCUAUCUAUCUGUAGUGAGGAAGUUAAUAUGUAAUUUUGUUGAAAGAAUUUUUAACAUCACUAUAUGAUGCUAGGCAAAUGACUUUUAUUGUUAGUCAAAAGGAAUGUAUACCAGCUAUAAAAUAGAAUAUAACUUGCUUAGGGCUUUCAAUUAAUUAACUAUUUUAAAUUGAUAUUAAUAUACAUUCAUGUAUUUAAAAAUUAAUGUCUAGGAAAGGCGAAAUUUUGUAUAUAUUAAAACAAG
rnacentral:lncRNA from 1 species